GAAAUGCGUAGUCGAUGGGAAACGGGUUAAUAUUCCCGUACUUCAUAUAACUGCGAUGGGAAGACGGAGUAGGUUAGCUCAGCAAGGCGAUGGUUGUCCUUGUUCAAGCGUGUAGAAAUGGUUCUUAGGAAAAUCCGGGAACCUCUAUUUCAAGGCGUGAUAACGAGCCCUCUUUUGGGCGAAGUGAGUGAGACCAUGCUUCCAGGAAAAUCCUCUAAGCUUCAGGUUAUAUGAAACCGUACCCCAAACCGACACAGGUGGACGAGAUGAGAAUUCUAAGGCGCUUGAGAGAACUCGGGUGAAGGAACUAGGCAAAAUGACACCGUAACUUCGGGAGAAGGUGUGCUCUUGUUAUGUGAUAUCACUUGCUGAUUGAGCAAAGAAGAGCUGAAAAAACUAGGUGGCUGCGACUGUUUAUUAAAAACACAGCACUCUGCAAACACGUAAGUGGACGUAUAGGGUGUGACUCCUGCCCGGUGCUUGAAGGUUAAUUGAUGAGGUUAGCGCUUGCGCGAAGCUUUUGAUCGAAGCCCAAGUAAACGGCGGCCGUAACUAUAACGGUCCUAAGGUAGCGAAAUUCCUUGUCGGGUAAGUUCCGACCUGCACGAAUGGAGUAACGACGGCCACACUGUCUCCACCCGAGACUCAGUGAAAUUGAAAUUGCUGUUAAGAUGCAGUAUACCCGCGGCCAGACGGAAAGACCCCGUGCACCUUUACUACAGCUUUGCAUUGAACUCCGAUCCUACUUGUGUAGGAUAGGUGGGAGGCUUUGAAGCUUUAACGCUAGUUAGAGUGGAGCCACCCUUGAAAUACCACCCUGGUAUGGUUGGGGUUCUAACCUUGGUCCGUAAUCCGGAUCGGGGACAAUGCAUGGUGGGUAGUUUGACUGGGGCGGUCUCCUCCUAAAGAGUAACGGAGGAGCGCAAAGGUAUCCUCAGCACGGUCGGACAUCGUGCAAUGAGCGCAAAGGUAAAAGGAUGCUUGACUGCGAGACUGACACGUCGAGCAGGUAGGAAACUAGGUCUUAGUGAUCCGGUGGUUCUGA
rnacentral:rRNA from 1 species